UCAAAUAUGCAAAUUUUUAAAAAUUUUAAAAAUUAUUUAAUACUUCAUUUCAUUAAUUCAAAUCAAUGUAUAAAAUGAUUUUAUGAUUAUCCGUCCAUUUAAAUUAAUGAAAUAAAAUAUCAAAUGAUUUUUAAAUUUUUAAAAAAUUUAAAAACUUAA
rnacentral:miRNA from 1 species